CCUCCCAAACCAGCAAACUACAGCAAGUUACAGCCUUCAGAGCCCCAGGUGACACGGCCCAGAAAGCCAGAUGGAGUGUCCUUUGAAGAAGGUGACAUUAUCUACAUUACUGACUCAAGCGUUAUCAACUGAUGGAAGGGCGGCAGGACUCAGCUAAUUCCAAGCAGGGAUGUGACCGAGCAGGCAGGAUCCACUGACCACCAGCUGCACUGGGCAGCCUGAGCCAGAGGGGUGUUUGGCUAACCCAGCGGGUGUUAAUGGCUUAGACAGAGCUGGAAGCACGGCUUUGUCUGGACUUGCCCUGGUCAUCGCUAAGACAGAGUGAAAGUCCCGUUUACAAAGCCAAGCAGUGAGCAAAACAGACAGACGGGAGACAAGCAGUGAGCAGAACAGACAGACAGGAGACAAGGCUUUCAUGCUGAUGCCCACGACGGUUGCUCCUGGGAAAGGCAAGAACGGUCUUAAGAAAUAACAGGAAAAAGCUGGUCCUGACCGUGGCCGUUGAUGCUGCCUGCACAUUGCUCUGGAAAGAGACAGGAGACAGAGUUGAU
rnacentral:lncRNA from 1 species